GCAUGGCUGAAUACUGUGUUCUUCAGUCAGUAAUUUACACAGCCAAACACCAUGCAAAAGUAAAGUCUUCCUUUAAGAUGGCUGGUAUGCUAUACUUUAUGGUAUAUCAUCAUUAAAAGUGAGUACAAGA
ensembl:snoRNA LOC120103271 small nucleolar RNA SNORA15